rnacentral:rRNA from 1 species
GGGCCCGCACAAGCGGUGGAGCAUGUGGUUUAAUUCGAUGAUACGCGAGGAACCUUACCAGGGCUUAAAUGUAGUAUGACCGGCUUGGAAACAGGCCUUCUCUUCGGAGCAGAUUACAAGGUGCUGCAUGGUUGUCGUCAGCUCGUGCCGUGAGGUGUUAGGUUAAGUCCUGCAACGAGCGCAACCCCUAUUCUUAGUUGCCAGCGGUUCGGCCGGGGACUCUAAGAAGACUGCCAGCGCAAGCUGAGAGGAAGGUGGGGAUGACGUCAAAUCAUCACGGCCCUUACGUCCUGGGCUACACACGUGCUACAAUGGUAGAGACAGAGGGCAGCCACCUGGUGACAGGGAGCGAAUCCUUAAACUCUAUCUCAGUUCGGAUUGUCGUCUGCAACUCGACGGCAUG